rnacentral:rRNA from 1 species
UACGAAGGGGGCUAGCGUUGUUCGGAAUCACUGGGCGUAAAGGGCGCGUAGGCGGCUUUAUAAGUCGGGGGUGAAAGCCUGUGGCUCAACCACAGAAUUGCCUUCGAUACUGUAGAGCUUGAGACCGGAAGAGGUAAGUGGAACUGCGAGUGUAGAGGUGAAAUUCGUAGAUAUUCGGAAGAACACCAGUGGCGAAGGCGGCUCACUGGCCCGGUACUGACGCUGAGGUGCGAAAGCGUGGGGAGCAAACAGG